GUUUUGAAGACGCUCACGCGUCACGCGCGUCAAACACGCACAUGGGGAACUGAGUCGAGAAAACUGUCAUGGCGGAUAAUUUGAUAUUCAUUUAACAUGUACUAUAUUUCAACAAUUUUGAUUUGUUAUUAAGCAAAUUUACUUGCUUUUGAUUUUAGUAAUAUUUCAAUGGAAGGGAAUAAUGCGAAAAGUGAUAAAACAGACAAUUUUGAGUCAAAAGGCAACGAUAUACCGACGGAGAAAAAGCAGAGACAUCGCGAAAAGAAGGUCAUAGCUGAUCCUAUAAAGCAGAUUGAGUUUUAUUUUAGCGAUCCCAAUCUUCAGAAGGAUAGAUUUUUAAGACAAAAAAUAACAGAAAGCGAGAAUGGAAGUAUUGAAAUUGGGACGAUUGCAAAUUUCAAUAGAAUGAAACAGUUGUGUGGGGAUUUUUCUCUUGUUGUAAAAGCAAUGAAACGAUGUUCGUCUAUUGAGGUGAUUGAUGAGAAAUGGUUGAAACUAUCGAAGCCACUGCCAGAACCAAAAAAUGUUGAUUUACAAACAAUUUAUGUUGAAGGAUUACCAUCUAAUGCUGAACAUAAGUGGUUAAAAUCAUUGUUUUCAUCUUGUGGCAAUGUGGUUUACGUCAGUUUGCCUCUGCACAAGUUGAACAAAAAAAUAAAAGGUUUUGCUUUUGUUGAGUUUGAGAAUGAAAGUGAAGCUGAUGCUGCACUGAAGGAAGGACCAGACAUGUUAACUGUAGAAGAUGAGGAAAUUGAUAAAUUUAGCAUUGAAAACGCUGAGAAGAAAAGGAAACGAAAAUGUACCUCAAAUGACUCUGAAAAUGCGAAAGAAACUGAAAUUCAAACACUUAAAGAACGACGAUGUAGAAGAAGUAAUCAUUUUGAAAGAACUUGAACCAACAAAAACUAAAAUCGAAAAAGGCAAUGCACUGGAAAUUUUUAAAAAGACGGUGAAAAAGGAAAGUGAAAAUGGGAGGAAAAUAAGUGGAAGCAAUGAAGAUUCUGAUGAACAAAAAACAAAGAAACGUAAACGAUGUCUGAAGACAACGGGCACGAGGCUACUGCAAAUAAGAAAAACAAACAGAUCGACAAAGGAGACAAUAUUCAUGAACAAGAAUUUAAAAAUGACGUGUAGAUUGAGGAAAAACACGUAGAGACGAAAAUGAAAAAACGAAAGCGGACAAAAAAAGUAAAAGACAAUAUUGAAUUGGAAAAACCAAAACUUCGAGUCAUAUCAAAGAUGGAAUGGUUAAAGUUAAAGAAUGAAUAUCGGCAAUUACAAAAACAAGCGAUGAAAGAUGCUAAACAAAAACUGAAGAUCGAGUUUGAGGAAAAGAAUUUAGAGUGUUCAACUGCAGAAGUUCCACAGCGAAAAAUAAAGGAUAAAGUGAAUUGUAAAGCAGAAAAUGAUGAUAAAGAUGAGAAAAAACUUCCUGAAAAACUUGAACGGCAGAAUGGCGUUGUUCUAAGGUUUAAAUCAAAUGAAAAUGUUGACUCAAAAGAGGUACUGGACAUAUUUUCAACAAUUACCACUGUAGCUUAUCUUGAAAUGAACGAUAACAAAAAAGGAGGUUAUGUACGGUUCCCGACAAAGCAAAUGUACGAGAGAUAUUAAGAGAGAUUAAAUAUAGAGCGAACUCAACGAUUUAUGAACAAAAAGAAAAGGAAAAAAAAUACCAGAGGAAGGCAAAAGAUUACCAAGAAAGUUGAUGAACAUAAUGCAAGAAAGAAAGAACAUAUCCAUUUUAAUAACUAGUUAGUAGGCAUUAAAAAGUAACAUUAAAAUGUCCAAUUAUGUGCAUGCUCAAUAUUUCAAGUGUUAUUUUUGUUGUUUUUGUGUCAAGUUUAGUUGGUACACUACUCUUUUUCAAUAAAGCUUGGUAUAUUUUUGUCACCCUUGA